rnacentral:lncRNA from 1 species
UGGAAACACAAACUUUGCAGACGUGAUCAAGUGAAGAGGACAUCAUACUGGUAGCAGAAGACAGCACCUGCUGUGAAUCCAGGUUCUACUGGGAAGUCCUAGCUCCUCACCUCUGGUACCUCUUUAUUCUUUCAGCCCUACAGACUGUACUGACACCAUAUAAUUGCUAAUUUCUGAGUUGGCUCAUCAUCCUCAAUUUUAAUCCAUCUGAUGUUUUUAUAACUAGCUCCCUGCAGUAAGUACUUUGUAAUGAACUAUUUGAUGUGAGUCUGUCUUCCCCACUGGAUCCUCAUACACGUGGAAAAUACAGCACUAAAUUUAGUACAUUUUGUAGAGAAUAUUAGUCAUUAGUACUUGCAUUUACCUUCUCUGUUUCUAGAGGUUGGCUUCUUUGCAAAAGGAUUGUUUUGAUUCUGCUUAAUAUUUUGCAUUUUAUAUGAAAACUGACAUAAAUUAAUCUGCAUAAGCAUUAUAAUUUAGCACUUUAUAUUUGGUCAAUACUUUGUAAAUAUUAGUUAGUGAAAGAAACACUAAUUUUUAUAGGAAUGUAAUACAAAACUAUGAACCGGGGUCCACAAAGUUUUUCUGUAAAGGGCCAGUUAGUAAACACUUUAAGCUUUGCAGGCCAUAUAAUCUCUGCCACAACUACUUAACUCUGCUGCUGUACCAUGAAUGCAGUAAUAGACAAUAUGUAAACAAGUGAGCAUGGCUGUGUUCCAAUAAAACUUUAUUUACAAAAAAGGUAGUGGGUUUGAUUUGUCCCACAAACCAUAGUUUAUUGACCCUGCUGUAAACUAUCUAGACUUUUGAUUCCGUAUGCUCCGUUGAUAUCUCAUAUACACACUGCAUGUGUCUAUAUUAUUUUAUAUAAAAGAAAAACAUACAGUUUUCUUCUCCCAAAGUAAGUCAAUUUUUCAAAGAUCUGGUAACGUUUACACUCUCAGUAUUUCAUUCUUUCAAAAGAUUGAUAUCUUAGGGAAAAAAAGGUCAUUAAGCCAAAACAUUAGACCUCAGGGAUAAACCUGCAGAAAAUUGAUUGAGUGAUCAAACCAACUUACUCUUUUGUAAAAGUCUCCCUGCCCUCUUAUUCAGAAGGAUGAAUGAUAUCUCGACAAUGAGCCAGGAUUUUUUAUUUUCAGCAUCAAAUUUUUGUUCUACUUCUCAAACAUUCUCCCCAAAUAUCAAAUACUUAAAAAAUGAAAUUGUUUUAGUCCCACAUAGUUAACAAAGAACAUAUGAACUAUUUACAUUUCCACUAAACUUAGUCAUUUUGAAGGCACAUUCCAGUUUGUUUUAUUUUCCUUAACAUCCAAUUUAGUUUCUGUCUCC